rnacentral:rRNA from 1 species
ACGCACGCUGGCGGCGUGCUUAACACCUGCCAGUCGAACGGAAAGGCCCUGCUUUUGUGGGGUGCUCGAGUGGCGAACGGGUGAGUAACACGUGAGUAACCUGCCCUUGACUUUGGGAUAACUUCAGGAAACUGGGGCUAAUACCGGAUAGGAGCUCCUGCUGCAUGGUGGGGGUUGGAAAGUUUCGGCGGUUGGGGAUGGACUCGCGGCUUAUCAGCUUGUUGGUGGGGUAGUGGCUUACCAAGGCUUUGACGGGUAGCCGGCCUGAGAGGGUGACCGGCCACAUUGGGACUGAGAUACGGCCCAGACUCCUACGGGAGGCAGCAGUGGGGAAUAUUGCACAAUGGGCGGAAGCCUGAUGCAGCAACGCCGCGUGCGGGAUGACGGCCUUCGGGUUGUAAACCGCUUUCGCCUGUGACGAAGCGUGAGUGACGGUAAUGGGUAAAGAAGCACCGGCUAACUACGUG